AACGAACGCUGGCGGCGUGCCUAACACAUGCAAGUCGAGCGCGAAUAGGGGCAACCCUUAGUAGAGCGGCGCACGGGUGCGUAACACGUGGGUAAUCUGCCUGGAUGUCUGGGAUAACCAGUCGAAAGACUGGCUAAUACCGGAUAAGCCCACGGCCUCUUCGGAGGCUGAGGGAAAAGGUGGCCUCUGUAUACAAGCUAUCACAUCCAGAUGAGCCCGCGGCCCAUCAGCUAGUUGGCGGGGUAAUGGCCCACCAAGGCAACGACGGGUAGCUGGUCUGAGAGGACGAUCAGCCACACUGGAACUGAGACACGGUCCAGACUCCUACGGGAGGCAGCAGUGGGGAAUUUUGCGCAAUGGGCGAAAGCCUGACGCAGCAACGCCGCGUGUGUGAUGAAGGUCUUCGGAUUGUAAAGCACUUUCGGCCGGGACGAAAACCCGUAGCCCAACACGCUACGGCUUGACGGUACCGGAAGAAGAAGCACCGGCUAACUCUGUGCCAGCAGCCGCAGUAACAC
rnacentral:rRNA from 1 species